UACGGAGGGUGCGAGCGUUUGUCCGGAUUUAUUGGGUUUAAAGGGUGCGUAGGCGGCUUAUUAAGUCAGGGGUGAGAGACGGUGGCUCAACCAUCGCAGUGCCUUUGAUACUGAUGAGCUUGAAUGAACUAGAGGUAGGCGGAAUGUGACAAGUAGCGGUGAAAUGCAUAGAUAUGUCACAGAACACCGAUUGCGAAGGCAGCUUACUAUGGUUUUAUUGACGCUGAGGCACGAAAGCGUGGGGAUCAAACAGG
rnacentral:rRNA from 1 species